ensembl:lncRNA
CUCCCCGCGAAGGUGGGGGGCAGCUUGUGGGUCGGGCUGGCGGGUCCCCAGAAUCUCUGACCGGCCUGCGGGGGGAGAAACAGGCAAGGGGUGAGGUGGAGGCUGUGGGGCUCCGCAGGACCUGCCCUUCCUCCUUGGGCAAGGACCCCAGGACCCCUGGAACAGUCAAGGCGGGGGUGGGGGCCGCCGAUUCCAAUCCCAGGACGGGGCGCUGACACCCAGGGCACGCACCUGGUCUAAGGGGGCGCCGACCUCCUCGGGCCGGGCCUCCGCCAGGAUGUUGCAGGGCACGAAGCCAGCCUGGCCGCUUCGGCUGCGCAGUUUCCACCACUGCCGCCCGUCCUCCAGUACCUGGGGGCCCCGCACCCAUCAGGCCCCUCCAGGAGUCUCCCCUCGGCCAACCCUCAGUCCUGGCACCCGGCACGCGGAGCGGGUCUCAGGGGGAGGGGCCUCGAGGGCUGGCUGUAGAUGCACACACUCCCCCCCCACUCUGUUUUCCGUCCUUCGGUGGGUGGCCUGGAUCCAGGGUUGGCACAAACGCAGGCUCUCGGGUGCGUGUGACGAGCCUCUGCUGGGCUGCACCGCAGGGCCCGCUGGCACAAAGCCUUCGGGGCACGGGGUCCUGCAUGCCAGGGGUCCCCACGCAGGAUCCCCUCAGCCUGCCACACCCGGGUCAGGAGGCCCAGCCCGUAGACCCCCCAGAGCCUGGCGCUGGGGACCCUGGGGACCUGGCCCCUCACCUCUAAGACCUCAUCCUUCUGCACCGAGAGCUCAUUGGCGUUGCGCGCUGUGAAGUCGUAGAGGACCUUCACGUACUUGGCCAUGGCUGGCGCUGGCUGGUACCUGUGAGUACCGGUAGGGCUGAGGCCUAAGGUGGGCUGGGGUCUCCCCCGGGUGGGGCAGCAGCUCCCUAGGCGCCGGCUGCCUGUGCUCUGCUGCCCGGUGCAGAGGAGAGAGGCUGCGCUGGCAGUGGAAGGUGGGGCAGCGGAGGGGCGGGACCGGCCCGAGUGGCCCAGCCCUUGGCUGCAGGGGAGCUGGAGCCAGGAGACUGUGCAGGUGCAGAGAGCCCUGCCUGGCGCUCCAGGGACAGGGGCCCAGCCCUGUGAGAGAGGCCACCUCAUCUGACCACCCGGGCGGCUCUGGGCAGGGGCAUUGUGGGCAGAGGGGGCUUCAGGGUGGAUGGACACUGGAAAUGUUUAUGUGUGGGCCCAGCAGGCACAGGGGAGGGGUGGGCUUGUGUUCGUUGCACGUCUCUGACCUGGGGUCAGGAGGGUGAUAGGGUUCCCAGGGGGCAGCAGGGGGAACACAGAGGAGGGGAGGCAAAGGGGAUGCCCCUCCACCCUGGGGGCACAGUGUAACUGGGGCUGUGCUGGCCCGACUCUCAGCCUCCCCUGCUGCCUGCGCUGGAGACUGGGUGGGGAUGGAAAAUUCAAACCUGACUUGGCCAAUUUAGCAAAUUUAUGGAGAACGCAUCUCAAAAAAGGGGAGGGGUGCUGGAGAUGGAGCUCAAUGCAAAAGCUCUGGGUUUGUUCCCCAGAAUCCCACCCCCAAAGGAAAAUCAGUCCCCACAGCCCCACAGGGAGACAGUGGUGCUUGGUGAAGGCCCCAAAGUCGAGGGUGUAGUCUCUCAUCUUGACUUUCACAUAAACAUGAGCCAUAAAAGAGCCACUGUUUGAGGGUAGUAAAUUUAUGUGCGAUUCAAAAAAAUUUUACCUUUAAUUAUGUUAUAAAAAUAUAAUGAAACAAGGUUCUAAUCUGGAAAAGCAGUUUUUUGUUUUUGUUUUUUGAGACGGGGUCUUGCUAUGUAGUUCAGGUUGGCUUUGAACUCUUACUAUGUAGCCCAGGCUGGCCUCAAAAGCACCGAGAUCCUCCUGCCUCAGCCUCUUGAGUGCUGGGAUUAAAAGCGUGUGACACCACACCUGGCAAAAGCAGCGUUUUUAGCCACAAAUGAGGUAUGUGCCACCUUCUGGUGCCAGCGUAUGCCUGUGUCCUAAGGGGGCUCACCUGUGAGUGUGGGGGGAGCUGCCUGGCGGCAGGGCAUCCCCUGGGGCUGUCGGCUCACCCAGGAUGUUCUUUGGGGAGCUUCGCGCAGAGAGUCGGCGCCCCGGGGCUGGCUGUGGGGAAAGUGGUAGCCUGGGGUUGAUGUGGGGUGGGGACCAGGCAAGAAGGGCAAUGACGGGGGGGUCCCGGUUAGGGCCUUGGAAAAUGCCCACACCUAGGACAAGGAGCCGGACGCCCAGGCCAGGGUGGGAGAAGCGGGUCUGGCGGCCUCUGACCUGGUCCUCUGGCGCCGACGCGGGCCCCUCCACCUCCCAGGGCGCCUCCUGCAGCACGUCCAGGGGCGGCUCCCAGCCGCUGUGAAACUGGGGCACGUAGGGGGACACCUGCGGCUCGCGCGGCCACUCGG